CCUGAGCUCCGCCCUGACCCCGCGCCAUGAGGGACGGAGGAACUACUAAUCCUAGCAUGCAUAGCGCGGCCACGGACCCACUUUUUUUUUUUUUUUUUUUUUUCAGUACCGGGAAAACAGGAGCGUGUGAUUGGGGUUUACAGUGUUUUCUCUCGCUCUCUCUGUUUCUAGGGAAUUCGGGCUGUGUUUAGCUGCUGGAAUAUCGUAGAAUUGGUUUUCAGAGAAGUUCCUCGACUCCUGAGGCGAAACAUAAAGGGAUGGGAGUGGUGUGGGAAGUGAUCGUGUGGGGAAAAAAAAGUUUCGAGCCCGUUUCGCAUUUGUGGAGACAGAGUUUUUGGUGUGACCACUCUUUUGUGGGAAACCCAAACCAAGGAGAACUCAGGAGAAUUGGCGCUCUUCGGUCCUGGAGGUUCCGCAGCUAACAUCCCGGCUUGACCAACUAUCGAGGCCGCAAAUUAAUAGGGCACCUCCUGGGAGGAAAACGCCCAUCCUGACUUCUCAACUGUGACAGUUUGCUCUGUCGCCCAGGAUGGAGUGCAGUGCAGUGGCGCGAUCCUGCAACCUCCGCCUCUCGAGUUCAAGCGAUUCUCCUGCCUCAGCCUCCCGAGUAGCUGGGAUUACAGACGCGCGCCACCCCACCCAGAUGAUCUUUUUAAAUGCAAAAUGCCAUCGACGCAGAAAAUCAAAGAAUCAGCUUAAGUUCCAGAAAAAAGAAAAACCAACCAAAUGAACAAUAAGACAACAACAACAACAACAAAAAAGGCCUUUUGGGAUUUUGGAUGAUAUUGCAUCAAAUCCAUACAUUAACCUGAGAGACGAGCGACUUCUUCAACAUUGAGCCUUCCAAUCAUGAUUUUCAAUUCAUUUAGGUCUUCUGUAAUGUUUCUUAAUAUAAUUGUAUUUGUUGCUAUGCAGAAGUUUCACUGAUCUUUUAUUAUAUCUCUAUAUAUAUUUGAUAUUUCUGACACUAUUGUAAAUAGUAUCUUUUUAAUAUUUCAUUUUCCUUUUUUGUUGCUUAAAUAUAUAUAAAAUAAGCUAAUUUUCCAAACUAAUUUUUAUAUCCAGCAACCCUGCUAAAAUUUCUUAUCC
rnacentral:lncRNA from 1 species